rnacentral:rRNA from 1 species
UAGAGUUUGAUCAUGGCUCAGAUUGAACGUUGGCGGCAGGCCUUAGACAUGCAAGUCGAACGGUAACAGCAGAGCUUGCUCUGGCUGACGAGUGGCGGACGGGUGAGUAACGCGUAGGAAUCUACCCAGUAGCGGGGGAUAGCCCGGGGAAACCCGGAAUAAUACCGCAUACGCCCCACGGGGGAAAGAGGGCCUCCUCUUGAAAGCUCUCACUAUUGGAGGAGCCUGCGUUGGAUUAGCUAGUUGGUGGGGUAAAGGCCUACCAAGGCGACGAUCCAUAGCUGGUCUGAGAGGACGAUCAGCCACACUGGAACUGAGACACGGUCCAGACUCCUACGGGAGGCAGCAGUCAGGAAUAUUGUGCAAUGGGGGAAACCCUGACACAGCCAUGCCGCGUGUGUGUAGAAGGCCUUAGGGUUGUAAAGCACUUUCAGUAGGGAGGAACUAGCAGCGUUAAUACCGCUGUGAGAUGACGUUACCUACAGAAGAAGAUCCGGCUAACUCCGUGCCAGCAGCCGCGGUAAUACGGAGGGAUCGAACGUUAAUCGGAAUUACUGGGCGUAAAGCGCGCGUAGGUGGUUUGUUAAGUGGGAUGUGAAAGCCCCGGGCUCAACCUGGGAACUGCAUUCCAAACUGACAAACUAGAGUACUGUAGAGGGGGGUAGAAUUUCA